AGCAAAGGAUGUUUGGGAUGUUUGGAUGUUAGGAAACCUUCCUAAUAAGGGUGACGCACCAUCUCGGUUCCUGGCACACCAGGUGAUUCAUGUGGUUCAUAAAUAACCAUUGAUCCACCCAAGGAGUUCCUGGAGCUCAGAUCCAGCCUCACAAAGGGUGGCCAGCUCGUUCCCUCUGUUUCAUGUUCAGAAUAUUUGUUCUUUUGCCACCAUCUCCCCUUGGUGGCUCAUCUAUACACACAAGACAAUGUCUGCUGUGUGCCUUCACACAGUACUGGUAUCAUCACCAUGUCAGCAGUUAGUUAACAAGACAGCAGUGAUGAUCAUGAUGACAUCAGUGCUGUUGUGUAAGCGCAUUAUAAAACAGAACAAAAUAAAACUACUUAUUCAGAAAAUCAAAAACAUCUGAAGACCAGAAAGAAUAAGAACAUGGGGACAAUGGCUGAGGAUAUCCAGAUUUUUAUUCAAACAGAGCUCUGCCUUCAAUCUGAAUCAUCUUCAGGAAGAGGAAUAUGCUUAAAAAAAAAAAAUCACCUGUCAGUUGUCUGAUGCUAUCCAGGUGUGUAUUUGAUUUUAUUCUCAUAGCAACAC